GACUUUCGUGGUGUAGGGGUAAGCACGGUUGCCUAUCACCCAGUCGGCUUGGGUUCGAUCCCAAACGGUCC
rnacentral:tRNA from 1 species